UACGGGGGGAGCAAGCGUUGUUCGGAUUUACUGGGCGUAAAGGGCGCGUAGGCGGUCGUGACAAGUCACUUGUGAAAUCUCCGGGCUUAACUCGGAACGGUCAAGUGAUACUGUCGGGCUAGAGUGCAGAAGGGGCAACUGGAAUUCUCGGUGUAGCGGUGAAAUGCGUAGAUAUCGAGAGGAACACCUGCGGCGAAGGCGGGUUGCUGGGCCGACACUGACGCUGAUGCGCGAAAGCCAGGGGAGCGAACGGG
rnacentral:rRNA from 1 species